rnacentral:rRNA from 1 species
UAACGCGUAUGCAAUCUACCUUUUACAGAGGAAUAGCCCAGAGAAAUUUGGAUUAAUACCUCAUAGUAUGUGAGAAUCGCAUGGUUUUCACAUUAAAGUUCCAACGGUAAAAGAUGAGCAUGCGUCCCAUUAGCUAGAUGGUAAGGUAACGGCUUACCAUGGCGACGAUGGGUAGGGGUCCUGAGAGGGAGAUCCCCCACACUGGUACUGAGACACGGACCAGACUCCUACGGGAGGCAGCAGUGAGGAAUAUUGGACAAUGGGCGCAAGCCUGAUCCAGCCAUGCCGCGUGCAGGAUGACGGUCCUAUGGAUUGUAAACUGCUUUUGUACAGGAAGAAACACUCCCUCGUGAGGGAGCUUGACGGUACUGUAAGAAUAAGGACCGGCUAACUCCGUGCCAGCAGCCGCGGUAAUACGGAGGAUCCAAGCGUUAUCCGGAAUCAUUGGGUUUAAAGGGUCCGUAGGCGGUUUAAUAAGUCAGUGGUGAAAGCCCAUCGCUCAACGGUGGAACGGCCAUUGAUACUGUUAAACUUGAAUUAUUAGGAAGUAACUAGAAUAUGUAGUGUAGCGGUGAAAUGCUUAGAGAUUACAUGGAAUACCAACUGCGAAGGCAGGUUACUACUAAUGGAUUGACGCUGAUGGACGAAAGCGUGGGUAGCGAACAGGAUUAGAUACCCUGGUAGUCCACGCCGUAAACGAUGGAUACUAGCUGUUGGGAGCAAUCUCAGUGGCUAAGCGAAAGUGAUAAGUAUCCCACCUGGGGAGUACGUUCGCAAGAAUGAAACUCAAAGGAAUUGACGGGGGCCCGCACAAGCGGUGGAGCAUGUGGUUUAAUUCGAUGAUACGCCGAGGAACCUUACCAAGGCUU